rnacentral:lncRNA from 1 species
UUACAGGAGUAAGAUCAAUCUAAUAUUAUAUUGUCUCCUUCAUCAUUCUAAUAUCCACGAUACACCAAUCCUCAUUUCUACAACAUUAGAUAAUGACAUAUAAAUUAAAUAUGAUUUAUAUUUAGUGCUUUAUUAUUUUUAUUAUGAUCAUAUUUGACUAAAUAUAUGAAUAACUAUAUUCCUUCAAAAUUAUUUAGCCAAUACAAUAAGAUAAAUUGUCAGGUUGUAUUACUUGAUUUGCAAUUUGAAUAUUAUAUGUUCAUGCUUUGGGGCUGGCUAAUCUUUAAAUUUAUAAAAUUAACCUUUAAGUUUGAAGAGUUUAAACGCAUGAUAAAUAUCACUAAUGUGCUAUGAAUAAAAUUUAUUAUCAUUAUAAUUCUACAAUUGUUAAGAAACUUUUAAAAUAAAAUAAAAUUAAAAGAUUGGUGGAUAUGGAUAUAGAUUUAGAUAUUAAGAUAGAUUCAGACUUACUCCAGAUCCAUCUUAGAUCCGCAAACUAAUAUUUAAAUCUGAUCUAAAUUUAUUUUAAACAGAUCUAAAUCCGAUCCAAUUGAAUUUAAAUCACGUGAAUCUUGGAUCAAUCCAAUCCAUUACCAUCCGGUGACCACCCCCGUGGGCCGUGAUGGAUGGAAAGUGUACGACCCAGUUCAGUUCAUGACACGUGUCGAGGUGAAUAUAGGUAAAGCGCAGCUUGGCUUGCGUCUUUUUCAUUCAGCCAACAACUCGUCUUCAAUCGGGAUCGCCGACAAAUGAUUCCCACCGUUGGAUUGGAUUUUAUCGAGGCUCUCAUUUAGGGAUUCGGCUCCAGAUAUGCGCUGCUAAAAUUGGGCCUCGCUUUUUUGGAAUAAAUUGCUCUUGCUCAUAGUUUUUUUAUUUUACCAUUUCUAUUUUUUCUCUCUCGUGUUAUUUAUUAUUCGUGGGUGAGUAUUAAUUUUGGGCUAAUUUUUAAAAACCUACUCUGAAGUUUGGGCUUAUUGUAAGUAGAUAGCAAUAAUUUAUUUAUUUAUAAAAAAUCCUCUACCGUUAGUUAAUU